CAGUUGUAGCUAAAUUGACACUGAGAGGUCAAUUGGGUGUUCGUCAUGAGAUUUUAUGGUUUCCAUUGGCGAGUCUGCCCCCAGAGCCUCUCACACUU